rnacentral:lncRNA from 10 species
UGUAGUCUGAGGUUAGAAUCUAUGUUUAUAAUUAUUAGGCUAUACAGCCUCUUGUUACACUAUAUGGCCAAUAAAUUGCAAGUUUAUGUCAAUAUCCAUGUCAAAAAAUUCUGGGAUCUUUUGGGAGAAACAAAGAUUAAGGAAGACCUUAGGCAUUAUCUAAGGUUCAUCUUCUCAGUAUCCCUGAAGCCUCUUCCCCUUCUUAGUUUCUAAAUGUUGGAAUGUCCCAAUGCCCUCUUCUCUUCUAUGUCCACACUCUUCUCCUGGAUGAUCUCAGAAGUCUAGUGCCUUGUAUAGAUUCUAUGUGUCAAUAACUCCCAAUUUAUGAGCCGUAGAUUGAUAUAUUUAAAUUGUCACUAGAGAUCACUACUCCGAUGUCUAAUAGGCAUAACCUUUACCUAAAUCUGACUACUUUUCACCAUCUCCACUAACGCCACCAGCAUCUUUUGCCUGGGUACUUUAACACCCUCUAAAUUUAUCAACCUCUUCCAGUAGCUUCCCAUGUCUCUCGAAGUAAAAACCCAAGACUUCACUGUGGUGUACAAGGCUCUACAUAAAUCAUCUGUGCCUUGUUAUUUUUCUUAAUUCAUUGCCUGUCCCUUUUCUCACCCCACUCCAACCAGAUUGGAGACCUCUGGAUCAUUUUCAAACACACCAAACUUGUUCCCAUUUCAGAGUUUUUGGACUUACUAUUUUCCCAGUCUAGGAUGACCUUCAGUCAGGUCUGUUCCCUCAACUCAUCCUGGUAUUCCUUGAGAUGGCAUCUCUUCUGAAAGCCUUCUACCAUCAGCAUAUCCAAAUACCAGUCUCCAUCACCCCCUGUCAUCCAUAGCACUAUCACUACCUAACAUUCUAUCAUGUGGUUUCUUUGUUUACAGCCUGUUUCCCAUGAUAGAUUGUAAGCUCCAUGAGGGAAGUCACUUUUUCUUUCCCUGUUUACCACUUUAACUUCCAGAACUUUGAACCCUCUUGGCACAGAGUAGAUGCUCACUAAUUAUCUGUUGAGGGACUAAAUACAUUGUCUAAUGAGAUUCCUUCAUUUGAGGAAGCUGGGGUCAGAAAGCCUCAUGAUCACACACUCGGUAGAGACGGAGCUGGUAUACUGACCACUGUACUACAUUUCAUCAUUAACUCUCUCUAAAUACCUAAUGAUUUCUUUUUAAUAAUUGUUGCAACUUGUCAGAUGAUACUUACCACGCCUGUAAGGAAGGCUGAAAGAAUAUAAUGUUUUGCCUAUGGAUGGCUUCAAUUAGUGAAUUUAAUGGCACAUUUUUAAUGGUAGCAAUAAUAAUAAUUCAUAUGGCAAUUGCACCUAUUUAUGUUUAAUCUGCUCAUCAAUAGUUGUGCUGUGUUUAGAGGCUUUCUUUGGCCCAAGGUUUAGAUUCUUCUUUCCUAAGGUAAGAAAAAUGCAUUUAGUAUCACCAAGAGUGAUGCACACACAGCGAGUACUAAACCUCUCCAUCCUCCACAGCUGCAGUAUUAACCAUGUCCAAUAAUUUUUCCAUUCCCUAAGUUAAACACAUGCUCCUUCCUUACCUUCCAGAAUACUGAGCUCCACCUGUUAGGUGAUCUUUGGAUCUGGAAAUCAUCCUCAUACUCCCAAAUUGAGGCUGUACAGUCCUCAUAAAACUGGUGCAGGUAGGACCGGACUCCAUAGCGCUGGUAACCACCCUCAGCUGCAGCCUGUGCCUGCCUGGACCCACAGACGUUGCUGCAAGAACUCAUCCUUCCCAGCUGGAAUGACAACAUCCACAUGGAUUAAUGCCACAGGCUUUGGCCACAGGAUCAAAAGACAUAUGAAAGAUUCGGUUCCAACUUGUGCCAUCUCUGGCCCCUCUGCUGAAGUUUCCAAUAAUGUGGAAAUGCCUGUUGAGGAAACUGGGAGUAGCACAGGUCUUCUAAAUUCCACCAGUACAUCUGCUUUUGGCUCACUCUCAACGAAGUAACUGAGACCAAAACAAGUUUUAGUUCAAACUUACCUGUGUCUGGAAGGAGAACCCAAAAUAUUUGGUGAACAGCUCUAAUGACUACUACACCUCUGGGGUACACAAUUCCUGCAGAGAUGACAAGGCAGGAAAACAGAGCCACACAGGAAAUCGGCAAUACUCCCAGUGUUAUAACUGAGUUGGCAGAUUGGAAAAACAUCACUAGACAGAGUCAUUUGCAUUGGUGAUAUUUUGGAUUUCACAAGUGACUCAUCUGCAUCCUCCACGCAGUGAGUCAGCCAUGCCCCUGACUAGCACAGAGCAUCUAUAUUUUGGUUAAGUGUGGAGACUGCAUGACACCUAUCCUAGUAGAUUGCAAACUUGCCAUUUAUACCACUUACAGUGACAAUUCACUGACUUUUGGUGAAUGGAUUAUCAUCUAGUUAGGGUUCUUGUAACUGGCCGUGAAAGUCACAGAGAAGUUGAGGGAGAAAUUUACUUUCCGGGAAGUGGUUAACUAUGAUGCAGAACUUACUUGCAAUAGCCAGGAUGCUCAUGUAAACAAAAAAAUAUACCUUGUUGGCUUAAUUGUUCAUGGAU